UACAGAGACUGCAAGCGUUAUUCGGAUUCACUGGGCGUAAAGGGUGCGCAGGCGGUCGGGUGUGUCAGAUGUGAAAUCCCGAGGCUCAACCGGGGAACUGCGUCUGAUACUGGCGGGCUUGAAUUCGGGAGAGGGAUGUGGAAUUCCAGGUGUAGCGGUGAAAUGCGUAGAUAUCUGGAGGAACACCGGUGGCGAAGGCGGCAUCCUGGACCGACAUUGACGCUGAGGCGCGAAAGCCAGGGGAGCAAACGGG
rnacentral:rRNA from 1 species